CGGGGGCCCGCAACCCGAGAGCCCCCGGGGCUGGAGGCGCGCGCGGCCCGGGCCAAGAGCCUGGGGGCGCCGGGGCCGGCGCGUAGGGGCCGCCACCGCGAUGGAGUGCGCCGGGGACGAUCCGGACUCGCCGCCGCAGGUGUCCACCCCGCAGGGUUCCUGACCCACCCCAGAAGGCACCACCCAGCAGACUCCGGUAGGGCCGGACUCCGCAGACCCGCUUCGGCAAUGGGUAACGAGGAGCUGUGGGCCCAGCCAGCCUUGGAGAUGCCGAAGAGACGGGACAUCCUUGCGAUUGUCCUCAUCGUGCUGCCUUGGACGCUGCUGGUCACCGUGUGGCACCAGAGCACCAUCGCGCCCCUGCUCGCCGCACACAA